UGGAAUUUUUUCCACACUAUAAAUUCAUGAAACAAUUCCUUCUACUAGAUUCAUAAAAGAAAAAAUAUGGCUAAAGUGUAUAUGUUUAUUUAUGCUAUGAUUAUGUUUUAUUUUAUGUUUAUUUCUUCAACAAUAUCUAAGCCUUGCCACAAUAAUGAGGAAUGUUCAGAUCAUAUAUGUAUCCAUCCUGAAGCCGUGCCAGAGUGCUUGUUUGAUAUAUUA